ACGACGCCGUAUCGAAGCAGUUAUUCAGAUUUUCUACUGUUUUCCAGUUUCCACCCCAGUAUAAAAACAGAACUUCUCCAUUUCGAUUUUUCCCCGCUCAAAUUUCCGUUACUUUCUCGCACUUUCAUUUUCCUUUCACAUUAACUUGCUCGUUUUCUCGCUAGCUCAGAAACAAGAUCGCGGAAAAUGGAGGACAUGGAUGAUGAAAUCGAUGACGUUCCUCAGGUUUACAUGGCCUGCAUACAAAACGGUCAUAGAAUUGGAGUUUCUUAUUAUGAUUCCAGCCUCCGACAACUAAAUGUGCUUGAAGCUUGGGAUGAUGGGGACAAAGGUUUUUCGGUUAUUGAUCUGGUGAAAUUUCAAGCAAACCCUCUGGUCAUAUACACAAGCACUAAAUGUGAAGAAUCUUUCUUGGCUGCUCUGCAACGAAGUGAUGAAGUAGCUGAGGCUCUUACAGUAAAGCUUGUGAAAAGUUCAAUAUUCAGCUAUGAGCAAGCAUGGCACAGAUUAAUUUACCUUCGGGUGGCGGGAAUGGAUGACGGAUUAGACGUCAAGGAGAGGAUUUACUUUUUGAGUUCCAUGAUGGACAUGGGAAGUGAAAUACAAGUUCGUGCUAGUGGGGGCCUUCUUGCAAUAUUAGAGAAUGAAAGGAUUGUAGACACUCUUGAGCAAAAAGAAUCUGGAAAUACAUCAAUUACAAUAGAUUCUUUAGCAGAAAUUUCACUAAAUAACUUUAUCAAGCUUGAUGCAGCAGCUCAUGAAGCAUUACAAAUAUUCCAGAUAGACAAGCACCCAAGCCACAUGGGAAUUGGUAGAGCAAAAGAAGGGUUUUCUGUAUUUGGAAUGAUGAAUAAGUGUGUCACACCAAUGGGUAGACGUCUUUUGAGACAGUGGUUCUUGAGGCCCAUACUUGAUCUUGAAGUUCUAAACUACCGCUUAAAUUCUAUAUCUUUCUUUCAAUGCUCAGAAGAACUUGUUGUUUCUUUACGUGAAACCCUGAAAUCUGUGAAAGACAUACCCCACUUGCUUAAGAAAUUUGACUCUCCAAGCUCCAUAUGCACUAGCAAUGAUUGGGCAGCACUUCUGAAGAGCAUCAGUGCACUAUUGCAUAUAAACAAGAUAUUUGAAGUUGGAAUUUCUGAAGGUCUUCAUGAAGAAUUGAAGUACUUGAACUUGGAUAUUGUUGAGAUGGCAAAUUCAUGCAUAACAACGGAGCUUGCUUAUGUCUAUGAGCUGAUAAUUGGGGUUAUUGAUGUAAAUAGAAGUAAAGAGAAGGAUUAUAUGACAGUGGUGAAAGAAGGUUUCUGUGAUGAGUUGGAUGAGCUAAGGCAAAUAUAUGAGGAACUGCCAGAAUUCCUGGCAGAGGUUUCAUCAUUGGAACUUGCACAACUCCCUGAUCUAUGCAAGGACAAGUUUGUUCCAUGUAUUGUUUAUAUACAGCAAAUAGGAUAUUUAAUGUGCAUCUUUGAAGAAAAACUUGAAGAAGCUACUCUGGAGAAACUUAUAGAAUGGGAAUACACUUUUUGUGAUGAAGAUGGAGAGACGAAAAGAUACUUUUAUCGUACGCCAAAGACACGAGAAUUGGACAAUCUUCUAGGAGAUAUCUAUCAUAAAAUUCUAGAUAUGGAGAGGGCGAUCACUAGAGACUUGUUUUCACAUGUAUCAUUGUUCUCAACCCAUUUGAUAAAGGUUUCAACUUUUGCGGCUGAACUGGACUGCUUUUUGUCAAUGGCUUUGGUUGCUCGACAGAACAAUUAUGUCAGACCUUUAUUGACCGAAGAAAACAUGCUCGAUAUAAAAAAUGGAAGGCAUGUUUUACAGGAAAUGACUGUAGACACAUUUAUUCCUAACAAUACUAAGAUUUUUCAUGAUGGAAGAGUUAAUAUCAUUACUGGUCCUAACUUUUCUGGGAAGAGUAUCUAUAUAAAACAGGUGGCUAUAAUUGUUUACCUGUCCCACAUCGGUAGUUUUGUACCAGCUGAUGCAGCAACUGUUGGGCUGACAGAUAGAAUAUUUUGUGCGAUGGGAAGCAGGCUUAUGACAGCAGAACAAUCAACAUUUAUGAUUGAUCUACAUCAAAUUGGGAUGAUGCUGAGGCAUGCUACUUCACGAUCUCUGUGUCUGGUGGAUGAAUUUGGUAAAGGUACUCUUACAGAAGACGGUGUUGGUCUGCUUGCAGGGGCCAUAAAUCACUUUAUCACAUGUGAUGAACCUCCAAAGGUUUUUGUGUGCACUCAUCUGAUGGAUUUAUUGCAUGGGUGUUCUUUGACCAAGUCUGAGCAGAUUAAGUUCUACACAAUGAGUAUACUGAGGCCUGAAGACAUUUCAACUCAAAUGGAAAACAUCGUAUUUUUAUAUAGGCUUGUCCCAGGGCAUGUGCAUCAUAGCUAUGGGCUGCACUGUGCGUUGCUUGCAGGUAAUUUACAAGAUUACUGUUUAUAUAAGGCGUGCCAGACGAAAUUAUAAAAAGAGCAGAAGUUGUGUUGGAUGCUGUAUCACAAAACAAUUGUGUUGAGAGGUUAUGCAAUGAGAACAUCUCCGCUCAAGAUGAUGAAUACAAGGAUGCCAUGGAGAAAUUGUUGACAUUCGAUAUUGACAAUGGCGACUUAAACCUUUUUUUCGAGGAGAUAUUCUCUAGUUCCUAAUGCAUCAUGACCAAGUCUUUUGGUUGUAGUUUUCAACAAGGAUCUUCAUCAUAUUAAUAUUAGUCAUCACUAGCCUCCAUAUAUGUCGAUUGAUAUGAUUAAACUAAUGUGGAAUCAAUGGCCUCCAUGUAUUACAAUUUUUUUCCCACGA